GGGCCCGUAGCUCAACUGGCUAGAGCGCCUGUUUUGCGAACAGGAGGUUACCGGUUCAAGUCCGGUCGGGUCCACCU
rnacentral:tRNA from 1 species